rnacentral:rRNA from 1 species
AGGGUUUGAUUAUGGCUCAGGAUGAACGCUGGCGGCGUGCUUAACACAUGCAAGUCGAGCGAAGCACUUAUGAUGAUUCUUCGGAUGAAUCAUUUGUGACUGAGCGGCGGACGGGUGAGUAACGCGUGAGUAACCUGCCUCAUACAGGGGAAUAACAGUUAGAAAUGACUGCUAAUGCCGCAUAAGCGCACAGGGCCGCAUGGCCCGGUGUGAAAAACUCCGGUGGUAUGAGAUGGACUCGCGUCUGAUUAGCUAGUUGGCAGGGUAACGGCCUACCAAGGCGACGAUCAGUAGCCGGCCUGAGAGGGUGAACGGCCACAUUGGGACUGAGACACGGCCCAA